rnacentral:rRNA from 1 species
AGUGAACGCUGGCGGUAGGCCUAACACAUGCAAGUCGAACGGCAGCACAGUAAGAGCUUGCUCUUACGGGUGGCGAGUGGCGGACGGGUGAGGAAUACAUCGGAAUCUACUUUUUCGUGGGGGAUAACGUAGGGAAACUUACGCUAAUACCGCAUACGACCUACGGUUGCAAGCAGGGGAUCUUCGUACCUUGCGCGAUUGAAUGAGCCGAUGUCGGAUUAGCUAGUUGGCGGGGUAAAGGCCCACCAAGGCGACGAUCCGUAGCUGGUCUGAGAGGAUGAGCAGCCACACGGGAAGUGAGACACGGUCCAGACUCCUACGGGAGGCAGCAGUGGGGAAUAUUGGACAAUGGGCGCAAGCCUGAUCCAGCCAUACCGCGUGGGUGAAGAAGGCCUUCGGGUUGUAAAGCCCUUUUGUUGGGAAAGAAAAGCAGCAGGUUAAUACCCCGCUGUUCUGACGGUACCCAAAGAAUAAGCACCGGCUAACUUCGUG